rnacentral:rRNA from 1 species
UGGGGAAUAUUGGACACUGGGCGCAAGCCUGAUCCAGCAAUGCCGCGUGAGUGAGGAAGGCCUUAGGGUUGUAAAGCUCUUUCACCCGCGACGAUGAUGACGGUAGCGGGAGAAGAAGCCCCGGCUAACUUCGUGCCAGCAGCCGCGGUAAUACGAAGGGGGCGAGCGUUGUUCGGAUUUACUGGGCGUAAAGGGCGCGCAGGCGGCUUCUCAAGUCAGGCGUGAAAGCCCCGGGCUUAACCUGGGAACUGCGUCUGGGACUGAGCGGCUAGAGUUCGGGAGAGGAGAGUGGAAUUCCCAGUGUAGAGGUGAAAUUCGUAGAUAUUGGGAAGAACACCGGUGGCGAAGGCGGCUCUCUGGACCGAGACUGACGCUGAGGCGCGAAAGCGUGGGGAGCAAACAGG